GAUGAACGCUGGCGGCGUGCCUAAUACAUGCAAGUCGAGCGAACAGACGAGGAGCUUGCUCCUCUGACGUUAGCGGCGGACGGGUGAGUAACACGUGGAUAACCUACCUAUAAGACUGGGAUAACUUCGGGAAACCGGAGCUAAUACCGGAUAAUAUAUUGAACCGCAUGGUUCAAUAGUGAAAGACGGUUUUGCUGUCACUUAUAGAUGGAUCCGCGCCGCAUUAGCUAGUUGGUAAGGUAACGGCUUACCAAGGCAACGAUGCGUAGCCGACCGGAUGGGGUGAUCGGCCCCACUGGAACUGGGACACGGUCCAGACUCCUACGGGAGGCAGCAGUAGGGAAUCUUCCGCAAUGGGCGAAAGCAUGACGGAGCAACGCCGCGUGAGUGAUGAAGGUCUUCGGAUCGUAAAACUCUGUUAUUAGGGAAGAACAAAUGUGUAAGUAACUAUGCACGUCUUGACGGUACCUAAUCAGAAAGCCACGGCUAACUACGUG
rnacentral:rRNA from 1 species